CACGUAGGCACCAAGCGUUGUCCGGAUUUAUUGGGCGUAAAGAGCUCGUAGGCGGUUCGGUAAGUCGGGUGUGAAAACUCUGGGCUCAACCCAGAGACGCCACCCGAUACUGCUGUGACUUGAGUACGGUAGGGGAGCGGGGAAUUCCUGGUGUAGCGGUGAAAUGCGCAGAUAUCAGGAGGAACACCAGUGGCGAAGGCGCCGCUCUGGGCCGUAACUGACGCUGAGGAGCGAAAGCAUGGGUAGCAAACAGG
rnacentral:rRNA from 1 species